GUCAUUAAGGAGCAGGUAGGGGUUAGACAGUACAGAGACAGGUCAUUAAGGAGCAGGUAGGGGUUAGACAGUACAGAGACAGGUCAUUAAGGAGCAGGUAGGGGUUAGACAGUACAGAGUCAGGUCAUUAAGGAGCAGGUAGGGGUUAGACAGUACAGAGUCAGGUCAUUAAGGAGCAGGUAGGGGUUAGACAGUACAGAGACGGGUCAUUAAGGAGCAGGUAGGGGUUAGACAGUACAGAGACAGGUCAUUAAGGAGCAGGUAGGGGUUAGACAGUACAGAGACAGGUCAUUAAGGAGCAGGUAGGGGUUAGACAGUACAGAGACAGGUCAUUAAGGAGCAGGUAGGGGUUAGACAGUACAGAGACAGGUCAUUACGGAGCAGGUAGGGGUGGGACAGAUUUGAGCUAAUUUGACAUUAAAGACAUUGAGAGCCCAGUGCCUCCAAACCAAGGCUGACAUCUUGUUAUCCAGGUGAUUUAGUUAAGCUUUGUUUCCCUAGUAGAGCCACGGCGCUCCAGACAGCCCUCCCCAUGCAUCACUACAGGGCGGCUAAACGUACACUUUGUACUUUGUGGCGUUCUGCAGACGAAGGCUAGAAGCCUGACACCUUUACAUGCCUUCUUGUGUACGUGCGAUCAUGUCAAGGGCUUACGUGAUUUUCAAAAGGUCACAAAAAGGAAUCAAACCUUUAUCACCUGUUGUUUGGUCCACCCUGCCUUCCACCGGUAUGUACACCCCUUCAUUACCUCUCUCUCUCUCUCUCUCUCUCUCUCUCUCUCUCUCUCUCUCUCUCUCUCCCUCUCUCCCUCUCUCUCUCUCUCC
ensembl:lncRNA